UGCAGUCGAACGGCAGCGCGAGAGAGCUUGCUCGCUUGGCGGCGAGUGGCGGACGGGUGAGUAAUAUAUCGGAACGUGGCCAGGAGCGGGGGAUAACUACUCGACAGAUUGGCUAAUACCGCAUACGCCCUACGGGGGAAAGGGGGGGAUCGCAAGACCUCUCACUAUUGGAUGGGCCGAUAUCGGAUUAGCUAGUUGGUGGGGUAAAGGCUCACCAAGGCAACGAUCCGUAACUGGUUUGAGAGGACGACCAGCCACACUGGUGACUGACACACGGCCCAAACUCCUACGGGAGGCAACAGUGGGGAAUUUUGGACAAUGGGGGAAACCCUGAUCCAGCCAUCCCGCGGUGUAUGAUGAAGGCCUUCGGGUUGUAAAGUUACUUUUGGCAGAGAAUACUAGGUAUCCCCUAAUACGGGGAUACUGACUGACGGCGAUCUGACAGAAUAACGCACCGAUCUAACGUACGUGCCACGCAGCGCGCGAUUAUGUACGGUAGGCGUGCAGAGCAGUUCAAUACGUGUAAUUGACUCG
rnacentral:rRNA from 1 species